AUCCACUCUACCAGAGUUUCCCACGCAAGCCCAGGUUAUGGGCAUGAGAAGUUUGCUUGGACGCUUUUAGAAAGAAAAUCCAAAGGACAAAGAACACAGCAGAGCUUUGUACAUUAAUGCAUCCUUGCAGCCAGAUGGGAUGUUAGCAAUGUGUGUCCUGUGUCGUUCAGGCACUGAAGCAAUUAAUCUUCUCACAGAGGGUGCCUGUGUGCCAGUGCCAGUCGCGUCAGAUCAGGCCUGCUUACCUGCAGCCCGAGAGCAGGGCUCUGGCACCAGCACAGCCUGGCACUGCAGCCGGCCCAGCAGCUGCGGGGACGUGCCAUCAGGUGCAAGGAGACUGGAGGAGGCAAGGGAGAGAUUCAGAAGCUCCAGAUGGAAGACGAAAUGUAUCAGCAAUGAAUUAAAGAAGGUUGGAGGAAACUCAAAGCCUGACUGCCAUGUUGUUACUGACAAGUGUCCUUAAUUCAGUGUGAAAAUAUUUCUGAAAGAUUAUCCUUGAGGUUUUUGUCUGAAUUUAGGAUUCAGCUCAGUGUAUUUCUUAUCAUGGGCUUCAUCUUCUGCUAACUACUAUUUCUGCUUAAAGAGCUGCAAGUACGCAGAUGACUUGAGCCUUCAUGUAAUCUGUUUUGUUUUUUCUUCGUGUAUUUAGUCAUCAGAAGUUCCUGGCAAAAAAUGUUUAUACUUGCUCUGCUACAGCAACUCAGGUUUUAACACUUACCUACUGCCAUUGCAGUAUUUCUUAGACUUCAGGUACACCCUUUAUCUUUCUUCAAUCUGUCUGUUCUUUCAUCUUGCAUAUGAAUGAUGUUCCCAUGCUUUUCUGUGUAUACUCAUUUUUAAAGUUUCUGUCAUGGAAUUACAGAUUGCCUUCUCUUUGCUUUCACCAUGACUUGGUAUAUAGAUGCACAAGUGGCAGGAUUGGCUCAUUCAAAUUCAUCUUUUCCAUACUGAGAUAAAGAUGUUUUUGCUCUUCCAUGUUCCCCCGGGUUCUUCUCGCAGUUCCCACAUCUUGUUUUAGAGAAAUGUGAUCUCUGGUUGCUUUCCCUUAAAUUUCACGUAAUGGUGCAAUAAAGCAUGUGCAUAAAAAUGAACACAUCUGUGCUUAUAACUUAACAUAUGUAUAAUGUACUUGCUGCAUUUGGAAGAUCAGAGUCAUUGAUAUGAUUAGUUUCUAAAAUGACCCUUACUUAACAUAUUAAUGGUCCAGAACUGAAAUUUCCAGUGCUCUUCAUAUACACCAAAUUACUUAGGUCACACCAAAAGUAAUGCCUCCUACUUAUUUCCUAUUUAUUAUUAUAGUGGAAGCUAUAAUAAUUUUGUAUAAUAUAUACCAAUAAUGUGUUUGAUACAGCAAAUUCGCACCUACAAAACAAUAAGUUUCAGUAUAGUCACCACCAUUAGCUAUGCAU